CCUACGGGGGACAGCAGUGGGGAAUAUUGCUCAAUGGGCGAAAGCCUGACGCAGCGACGCCGCGUGAGGGAUGAAGGUCUUCGGAUCGUAAACCUCUGUCAGCAGGGAAGAACGGUCACUGUGCUAAUCAUCAGUGAAUUGACGGUACCUGCAAAGGAAGCACCAGCUAACUCCGUGCCAGCAGCCGCGGUAAUACGGAGGGUGCGGUCGUGAAUCGGAAUUACUGGGCGUAAAGGGCUCGUAGGCGGUAUGUCAAGUCAAGGGUGAAAUCCCCAGGCUCAACGUGGGAAGUGCAUUUGAAACUGGCAAACUUGAGUGUGUGAGAGGAUAGUGGAAUUCGAGGUGUAGGAGUGAAAUCCGUAGAUAUCUGGAGGAACAUCAGUGGCGAAGGCGACUAUCUGGUACAUAACUGACGCUGAGGAGCGAAAGCGUGGGUAGCAAACAGGAUUAGAUACCCUUGUAGUC
rnacentral:rRNA from 1 species